rnacentral:rRNA from 1 species
UACGUAGGGUGCAAGCGUUAAUCGGAAUUACUGGGCGUAAAGCGUGCGCAGGCGGUUGUGUAAGUCCGAUGUGAAAUCCCCGGGCUUAACCUGGGAAUGGCAUUGGUGACUGCACGGCUAGAGUGUGUCAGAGGGGGGUAGAAUUCCACGUGUAGCAGUGAAAUGCGUAGAGAUGUGGAGGAAUACCGAUGGCGAAGGCAGCCCCCUGGGAUAACACUGACGCUGAUGCACGAAAGCGUGGGGAGCAAACAGG